rnacentral:rRNA from 1 species
CGUUGACCUCGGAUCAGGUAGGGAUACCCGCUGAACUUAAGCAUAUCAAUAAGCGGAGGAAAAGAAACCAACAGGGAUUGCCUCAGUAACGGCGAGUGAAGCGGCAACAGCUCAAAUUUGAAAUCUGACCCUUCGGGUCCGAGUUGUAAUUUGUAGAGGAUGUUUCGGGUAAGAUCGAGGCCUAAGUUCCUUGGAACAGGACGUCGUGGAGGGUGAGAAUCCCGUAUGCGGCCCACGAUCGCACCCAUGUGAAACUCCUUCGACGAGUCGAGUUGUUUGGGAAUGCAGCUCAAAAUGGGUGGUAAAUUUCAUCUAAAGCUAAAUAUUGGCCAGAGACCGAUAGCGCACAAGUAGAGUGAUCGAAAGAUGAAAAGCACUUUGAAAAGAGAGUUAAACAGCAUGUGAAAUUGUUGAAAGGGAAGCGCUUGCGACCAGACUUGUUCGCGGGGUUCAGCCACCGUUCUCGGUGGUGUACUUCCCCGUGUCAGGCCAGCAUCAGUUCGGGCGGGAGGUCAAAGACCGCGGGAAGGUGCCAUCCUCCGGGAUGCCUUAUAGCCCGUGGUGUCAUGCUCCCAGCCCGGACUGAGGAACGCGCUUCGGCUCGGAUGCUGGCGUAAUGGUUGCAAGCGACCCGUCUUGAAACACGGACCAAGGAGUCUAACAUCUAUGCGAGUAUUUGGGUGUCAAACCCACAUGCGCAAUGAAAGUGAACGGAGGUGGGAGUCUUCGGAUGCACCAUCGACCGAUCCUGAUGUCUUCGGAUGGAUUUGAGUAAGAGCAUAGCUGUUGGGACCCGAAAGAUGGUGAACUAUGCCUGAAUAGGGUGAAGCCAGAGGAAACUCUGGUGGAGGCUCGCAGCGGUUCUGACGUGCAAAUCGAUCGUCAAAUUUGGGUAUAGGGGCGAAAGACUAAUCGAACCAUCUGGUAGCUGGUUCCUGCCGAAGUUUCCCUCAGGAUAGCAGUAACGUUUUCAGUUUUAUGAGGUAAAGCGAAUGAUUAGAGGCCUUGGGGUUGAAACAACCUUAACCUAUUCUCAAACUUUAAAUAUGUAAGAAGCCCUUGUUACUUAAUUGAACGUGGGCAUUCGAAUGUAUCGUUACUAGUGGGCCAUUUUUGGUAAGCAGAACUGGCGAUGCGGGAUGAACCGAACGUGAGGUUAAGGUGCCGGAAUGCUCGCUCAUCAGACACCACAAAAUGUGUUAAUUCAUCUGGACAGCCGGACGGUGGCCAUGGAAGUCGGAAUCCGCUAAGGAACGUGUAACAACGCACCGGCCGAAUGAAUUAGCCAUGAAAAUGGAUGGCGCUCAAGCGAGCUACCUAUACCUCGCCGUCAGGGUAGAAAUGAUGCCCUGACGAGUAGGCAGGCGUGGAGGUCCGUGACGAAGCCUUGGGGGUGACCCCGGGUCGAACGGCCUCUAGUGCAGAUCUUGGUGGUAAGUGCAAAUACUCAAAUGAGAACUUUGAGGACUGAAGUGGGGAAAGGUUCCAUGUGAACAGCAGUUGGACAUGGGUUAGUCGAUCCUAAACCAUAGGGUAAUUCCGUUUGAAAGUGCGCACUUGUGCGCCGUAUGGUGAAAGGGAAGCCGGUUAAUAUUCCGGCACCUGGAUGUGGAUUCUCCACGGCAACGUAACUGAACGCGGAGACGACGGCGGGGGCCCUGGGAAGAGUUCUCUUUUCUUCUUAACGGCCUGUCACCCUGAAAUCGGUUUGUCCGGAGCUAGGGUUUAACGGCCGGCAGAGCCUUGCACCUUUGCAAGGUCCGGUGCGCCACCGACGUCCCUUGAAAAUCCG